rnacentral:ribozyme from 15 species
GGAAAGAGCAAGAAAAGAAAAAAAAAAAAACAUUUUUUGUCGUCAGGAGGAUGAUUCUGGGAACAAAUCCGAAAUUGAACGAAAAAACCCUAUUCCUCGCUCUUUUUUUUCUCUCUCUCUCUUUUUUCUCUCUCUCUCU